rnacentral:ncRNA from 2 species
ACUAUACUGGGUCUGUCUGGUGCUGUCCCUUUUGUGACGUGACUCGGGGGGCGGAGAAUCGGGAAUGCGGUGCAAGUCCGCAACGUGCCCAACGCUGUUAGGUGGAUGAUGCUGCAACACGCCACUGGUUCCGACCGGGAAGGCGCAGCCUCAGUCGAAACCGAGUCAGAAGACCGGCCAGACAAAACCGGGCUGC